rnacentral:rRNA from 1 species
ACGCUCGACACCUACGGGAGGCAGCAGUCGGGAAUAUUGCGCAAUGGAGGAAACUCUGACGCAGUGACGCCGCGUAUAGGAAGAAGGUUUUCGGAUUGUAAACUAUUGUCGUUAAGGGAAGAAAAAAGACAGUACCUAAGGAGGAAGCUCCGGCUAACUACGUGCUAGCAGCCGCGGUAAUCUGAGCGGGCUGGCAAGGC